UUGAAAUUUUAAAACAUGGGUCACCUCUUAAAAUCUUUCCGGAGCCUUUAGUGCAAUGAUUUUGGAGAAAAAAGUUGAAGAUUCUUGAAACUGCAGCUCUGGUGGUUGUGGUAGUUGGAGGUGGUGGUUCAGGGUGGUCGACGGCGAGGUUGGCGGUGGAGAAAGAGGGUUUAUGGUGACGGAGAGCGGAGAUUAAUCGAGAUUUUAGGGGUGAUUUUAGCGUUAUUCGAAGCAUUAGGAGAAGAAGAAGAAAAA
rnacentral:misc_RNA from 1 species